AUUGAACGCUGGCGGCAGGCCUAACACAUGCAAGUCGAGCGGAUGAAGGGUGCUUGCUCUUGGUUUACGCGGCGGACGGGUGUGUAAUGCCUAGGAAUCUGCCUGGUAGUGGGGGAUAACGUCCGGAAACGGGCGCUAAUAACGCAUACGUCCAGAGGGUGAUAGUGGGGGUUCUUCGGACAUUACGCUAUAAGAUGAGUCUAGGUCGAAUUAGAUAGUUGGGGGGGGAAAGACCUACUAAGGCGAGUAUCCGCGACUGGUCUGGGAGGAGGAUCAGUCACACUGGAACGGGAACACGGCCCAGACUCCUACGGGAGGCAGCAGUGGGGAAUUUUGGACAAUGGGCGAAAGCCUGAUCCAGCCAGGCCGCGUGGUUGAAGAAGGUCUUCGGAUUGUAAAGCACGUUAUGUGGGGAGGAAGGGCAGGAAGUUAAUACCUUGCUGUUUUGACGUUACCUACAGAAUAAGCACCGGCUAACUUCGUG
rnacentral:rRNA from 1 species